rnacentral:rRNA from 1 species
UUAGCGGCGGACGGGUGAGUAACACGUGGGUAACCUGGCCUGUAAGACUGGGAUAACUCCGGGAAACCGGGGCUAAUACCGGAUGCUUGUUUGAACCGCAUGAUUCAAACAUAAGAGGUGGCUUCGGCUACCACUUACAGAUGGACCCGCGGCGCAUUAGCUAGUUGGUGAGGUAAUGGCUCACCAAGGCAACGAUGCGUAGCCGACCUGAGAGGGUGAUCGGCCACACUGGGACUGAGACACGGCCCAGACUCCUACGGGAGGCAGCAGUAGGGAAUCUUC